GAUGAACGCUGGCGGCGUGCCUAAUACAUGCAAGUCGAGCGAACGGACGAGAAGCUUGCUUCUCUGAUGUUAGCGGCGGACGGGUGAGUAACACGUGGAUAACCUACCUAUAAGACUGGGAUAACUUCGGGAAACCGGAGCUAAUACCGGAUAAUAUUUUGAACCGCAUGGUUCAAAAGUGAAAGACGGUCUUGCUGUCACUUAUAGAUGGAUCCGCGCUGCAUUAGCUAGUUGGUAAGGUAACGGCUUACCAAGGCAACGAUGCAUAGCCGACCUGAGAGGGUGAUCGGCCACACUGGAACUGAGACACGGUCCAGACUCCUACGGGAGGCAGCAGUAGGGAAUCUUCCGCAAUGGGCGAAAGCCUGACGGAGCAACGCCGCGUGAGUGAUGAAGGUCUUCGGAUCGUAAAACUCUGUUAUUAGGGAAGAACAUAUGCGUAAGUAACUGUGCACAUCUUGACGGUACCUAAUCAGAAAGCCACGGCUAACUACGUGCCAGCAGCCGCGGUAAUACGUAGGUGGCAAGCGUUAUCCGGAAUUAUUGGGCGUAAAGCGCGCGUAGGCGGUUUUUUAAGUCUGAUGUGAAAGCCCACGGCUCAACCCGUGGAGGGUCAUUGGAAACUGGAAAACUUGAGUGCAGAAGAGGAAAGUGGAAUUCCAUGUGUAGCGGUGAAAUGCGCAGAGAUAUGGAGGAACACCAGUGGCGAAGGCGACUUUCUGGUCUGUAACUGACGCUGAUGUGCGAAAGCGUGGGGAUCAAACAGGAUUAGAUACCCUGGUAGUCCACGCCGUAAACGAUGAGUGCUAAGUGUUAGGGGGUUUCCGCCCCUUAGUGCUGCAGCUAACGCAUUAAGCACUCCGCCUGGGGAGUACGACCGCAAGGUUGAAACUCAAAGGAAUUGACGGGGACCCGCACAAGCGGUGGAGCAUGUGGUUUAAUUCGAAGCAACGCGAAGAACCUUACCAAAUCUUGACAUCCUUUGACAACUCUAGAGAUAGAGCCUUCCCCUUCGGGGGACAAAGUGACAGGUGGUGCAUGGUUGUCGUCAGCUCGUGUCGUGAGAUGUUGGGUUAAGUCCCGCAACGAGCGCAACCCUUAAGCUUAGUUGCCAUCAUUAAGUUGGGCACUCUAAGUUGACUGCCGGUGACAAACCGGAGGAAGGUGGGGAUGACGUCAAAUCAUCAUGCCCCUUAUGAUUUGGGCUACACACGUGCUACAAUGGACAAUACAAAGGGCAGCGAAACCGCGAGGUCAAGCAAAUCCCAUAAAGUUGUUCUCAGUUCGGAUUGUAGUCUGCAACUCGACUACAUGAAGCUGGAAUCGCUAGUAAUCGUAGAUCAGCAUGCUACGGUGAAUACGUUCCCGGGUCU
rnacentral:rRNA from 1 species